rnacentral:rRNA from 1 species
UAAGGAAUAUUGGACAAUGGAGGCAACUCUGAUCCAGCCAUGCCGCGUGAAGGAAGAAGGACCUAUGGUUUGUAAACUUCUUUUGUAGCAGAGAAAACCCUCGUUUGCGAACGAGGUUGAUAGUAUGCUAAGAAUAAGCAUCGGCUAACUUCGUG